rnacentral:rRNA from 1 species
UACGGAGGGGGCUAGCGUUGUUCGGAAUUACUGGGCGUAAAGGGCGCGCAGGCGGCCGUGUUUGUCAGGCGUGAAAUCCCUGGGCUCAACCCAGGAACUGCGUCCGAUACUGGAAGGCUUGAAUCCGGGAGAGGGAUGCGGAAUUCCAGGUGUAGCGGUGAAAUGACGUAGAUAUCUGGAGGAACACCGGUGGCGAAGGCGGCAUCCUGGACCGGCAUUGACGCUGAGGCGCGAAAGCCAGGGGAGCAAACGGG